rnacentral:rRNA from 1 species
UAAUACGCAGGUACGCACCGAAGAGUCGGGCAUAGCCAGCCGAAAGGUUGGGUAAUUCCCGAUAGUCCCUGAGACGCAAGUCGAAGGGUAAAGCGGCAACGCGCUCUUUGAGCGGCCUGCGGGGCAUCAGCUAGACGGUAGGGUAACGGCCUACCGUGGCUACGACGCCUAGGGGAGCUGAGAGGCUGACCCCCACCGAUGGGACUGAGACACGGCCCAUACACCUACGGGUGGCUGCAGUCGAGAAUAUUUGGCAAUGGGCGAAAGCCUGACCAUGCGACGCCGCGUGCUGGACGAAGUCCUUCGGGACGUAAACAGCUUUUAUGCGUGAGGAAGUAAUUGACGUUAGCGCAUGAAUAAGGGGCUCCUAACUCUGUGCCAGCAGGAGCGGUAAUACAGAGGCCCCGAGCAUUAUCCGGAAUCACUGGGCGUAAAGGGUGUGUAGGCGGCCAUGUUAGUCCGUUCGUAAAAGCCCGCGGGCUCAACCCGUGGAAUGCGGCGGAAACGGCACGGCUUUAAGAGGACGCGAGAGGCAAAGGGAACUCAUGGUGUAGGGGUGAAAUCCGUUGAUAUCAUGGGGAACACCAAAUGCGAAGGCACUUUGCUGGCGCGCUCCUGACGCUGAAACACGAAAGCUACGGGAGAGAACGGGAUUAGAUACCCCGGUAUUCGUAGCCCUAAACGAUCACGACUGGCUUUGCGGAGUAUCGACCCUCUGCGAGGCGAAGCUAACGCGUUAAGUCGUGCGCCUGGGUAGUACGAUCGCAAGAUUAAAACUCAAAGGAAUAGACGGGGACUUGCACAAGCGGUGGAUCAUGCGGCUCAAUUCGAUGACAAACGAAGAACCUCACCAGGGUUUGAAACCAAGACGAAAACUUUGGGAAACCAGAGUCCCCGAAAGGCGGCUUGGCAGGUGAUGCAUGGUCGUCGUCAGUUCGUGGUUUGAACUGUUCCCUUCAGUGGGGUAACGAACGCAACCCCUGUUGCCUGUUUUAAAUGUCAGGCGAGACUGCCCCCUCACGGGGGAGGAAGGUGGGGAUGACGCCAGAUCAGCAUCUCCCUCUGAUAUCCUGGGCUGCACGCAUGAUACAAUGCACGCGACAACGCGACGCGACGGAGUAAUCCCGAGCAAAUCGUCAUAAACGCGUGCCCAGUUCGGAUUGAGGGCUGCAACUCGCCCUCAUGAAGCCGGAAUCGCUAGUAAUCGCGGGUCAGCUAUACCGCGGUGAAUACGUUCUCAAGUCUUGUACUCACAAUAAACGCGCACAGCAGCGCGCACUUCUAUGCGGUUAAAAUCCGUACCCUCGAUUUCGUCGUCGAGGCGUAGCAAAAGGGCAAGCAUAUAUCCGUGAGGGUAGUGCCGGAGGGCCCGGACGCAAAAAGCAGCCUCUGCAAACUAAAGGGCGUUCGACCUACCAGUGGGCGGUGAGGGUAGGGAAGAACUAAGAAAAUCCCGCAGUGGAUGUUUGGAACAGAAGUGCUCGUAACCUGUGGAGAUCUGACGCUGUUACCCCGAAAAUCGGGGUAUAAUGAAUCUGACGCAGCGUCAGAAGUCAGCUGGGUCAUAGUAUUCGAAAGAAAAAGGACCCACUCAAUGAAAAAUCUUAGUCCAGAAUAUGUGGUUGGUUUGGUAGAUGGUGAAGGCAGCUUUACCGUCUAUGUCCGAAAUCCGGAUGUAAAGAGCUUUGUCAUUCGGCGAGUAAUGGUAGAACCGAAAUUCUACGUAAAACUCAUCGAGCGCGAUAAAGAAAUUCUCUUUGCAUUGCAGCGGUUUUUCGGAUGCGGGAGCGUGUACUUUCAAAAAGAUACGCGGUCUAAUCACCAAAACUGCUAUCGAUAUGAAGUCUUCCGGUGGGAGAACCUUCAAACUAAAAUCAUUCCGUUCUUCAAGCAAAACAAAUUGAAGUUUGCUUCUAAACAGCACGACUUUGAAAUAUUUUGCGUGAUGAUGGAAAUAUUAUCCAAAAAAGAGCAUCUUACGGAUAAAGGACUUAGACAGUUGUUUAAAUUAAAAAGACAAAUGCAUUGAGCUCGCGCAGUGCGGGAAAUCCGCUUGCUGCGUGGGAACAUCAAUUCUUAAGAUUCUAAGGAGAUAAUCGCCCGUCAAGUCAGGGAAGUCGGGAGUGCCUGAAAGUCAUCUUCGGAUGAACCACGGUAAACUCGAUGACAAGGACUAAGUCGUAACAAGGCACGGGUAGCGGAAGCUGCUCGUGGAACA